AAUACAUGGGGUGGGGCAGCAAAGGAUGGAGUCUGAUAUCCAAACUGCUAGUCUUGGGCAAGUAGUUUGACUUGGGGGAGAGAGAGAGGCUGGUUGUUUGCUUAUGUUUUUUGAGAUAAGGCAGCUCAAGCUGGACUGGAACUGCCUGUGUGCUUCGUGCGCACUCAGAAGCCCAGAGAGGUCAGAGGAAGAUAUGGUGCAAGAAACUGUAGCAGAUCAAGGUCUUCUGCAAGAGCAGUAAAUGCUCUUAACGGAUGAACCGCUUCAACCGCACUGUUAAGUCAGUUGCUUGUAAAAUAGGUCCCUCGAGCAAACGGAACCUAAGCUAAAUGAUAAAAAGAAAUAUAGAGUAGGUGUGCCUAAGAGCAGCUCUCUCAAUAAUGAAAUACGUGUAUACUCCAGCCGCCCCACAGCUAGGGGCUUGCAGAUGGUCACUGGUAGACAUGGGCACAUUCUAGCUUGUGAGUCAGAGGCUCCGCGGCCCACGGUUUCCAGAAACUCCGAAAAUAGCACCACCAGCUGAAGUCCAAGCAGCCUAAAGUGAAGCCUGUGUGGGAACCGCAGCAGAACUGACAGCUUGGGGAUUACAUCUGGAAGCUCACAUCCAUUCUUGUAACACAUUCUGGUUACAAGAUCCAGAUCCAACCAGAAUAUACAAACAAGAAGACAGUUGGAAGUUUUAUAAGAAUGAUUUUAAUUUCCUAGUAAGAAAAACUGAAACACGGUUACCUCAGCAUCUCUUUCUGCCUUGACCUUGGAUGGAGAGCCAGAAGAUCUAGAGAGACUCUGUGUUUGUGAGUAAAAGACCAAGAAUACCACCGAUAUAGAGCAGCCAGGCAGUGUUGAUAUAGAGCAGCCAGGCAGUGUUGAACAACGGAAGCAAAGCUAGCAGCUGCUUAUUUCUGAAUCGUAUACAGCAACAAAACAAUCCGAUUUGAUUACACUGAAGUUGUGUUGUCUGUAGCUUGUACCUGAAUACCGGCGAGAGGUGCAGUUUCAAGAACAACAGAUUUAUUUUGUUUCACUAGUCCUUGCAUAACUUCACUUGGGUGACACCCCAGAGGAAAACAUGCCUGUUCCUUAUGUUUUGGUUGUGGGAGCUUUUAUUAAUAGUUUCCAAAGACUGAAAUGAUGGAUGUCAUUGCCCAAAAGGUAACUAAAGUUUCUGUCAUUAGAAGGGAAGUGACAAGCAGACAAAUCUUCCAUAGCAGUAAGUCCCUUCGGUAUAACUGACAAUGCGCAGACUUGCUCUGUUUAUAACCUCCUGUAGUGCAGGACUUUGUUCCCAUCAGCUACACCCCUUCACCAGUAACUGUCUCAGCCAAGUCCCUUUGGUUGCAACAGAUAGAAACUUAGUCAAAUAAGUUAAAAACUCAGAACAUCAGAGAAGGGAUUAGUAAGGUGGGG